rnacentral:rRNA from 1 species
GUAGGGUGCGAGCGUUAAUCGGAAUUACUGGGCGUAAAGCGUGCGCAGGCGGUUCUAUAAGACAGAUGUGAAAUCCCCGGGCUUAACCUGGGAACUGCGUUUGUGACUGUAGGACUCGAGUGUGGCAGAGGGGGGUGGAAUUCCACGUGUAGCAGUGAAAUGCGUAGAGAUGUGGAGGAACACCGAUGGCGAAGGCAGCCCCCUGGGUCAACACUGACGCUCAUGCACGAAAGCGUGGGGAGCAAAC